UUAACAAGGAAAACACGGAAAACACCAUGUAAGACAUGUAUGUCAUACAGGUUUGGAACCACAUGAGGAUGAAAAAAAAUUAUGACAGAAUUUUUGGAUGGAAACUGCAGAGAACCACAUCCUGUUGUCCUGAAAAAAAGAAAGAGACUACUUUCUCCAAGGCGGUCCAAACGCCAUUGUCACAGACUUUGUUCAGUGAUCAGUAACAUACAUUCAGCCAGGGCCAUCCUUAGGGGGUGCAACUGAUGCGGUCACACCGGACUCCACACUUGAGGGGUAAACGGACUGAAUGAGCCCCC